rnacentral:rRNA from 1 species
UACAGAGGGUGCAAGCGUUAAUCGGAAUUACUGGGCGUAAAGCGUGCGUAGUCGGUUAUUUAAGUCGGGUGUGAAAGCCCCGGGCUCAACCUGGGAAUUGCAUUCGAUACUGGAUAGCUAGAGUUCGGCAGAGGGAAGCGGAAUUUCCGGUGUAGCGGUGAAAUGCGUAGAUAUCGGAAGGAACAUCAGUGGCGAAAGCGGCUUCCUGGACCAGAACUGACGAUCAGGCACGAAAGCGUGGGGAUCAAACAGG